AACGAACGCUGGCGGCAGGCUUAACACAUGCAAGUCGAACGCGUGCAGCAAUGCACGAGUGGCGCACGGGUGAGUAACGAGUGGAUAUCUGCCUUUUGGUUCGGAAUAAGCCCGGGAAACUGGGGCUAAUACCGGAUGGUUCCUACGGGAUAAAGAUUUAUCGCCAAAAGAUGAGUCCGCGUCCGAUUAGCUAGUUGGUGAGGUAAUGGCUCACCAAGGCGACGAUCGGUAGCUGGUCUGAGAGGACGAUCAGCCACACUGGACUGAGACACGGCCCAGACUCCUACGGGAGGCAGCAGUGGGGAAUAUUGGACAAUGGGGGCAACCCUGAUCCAGCCAUGCCGCGUGAGUGAUGAAGGCCUUCGGGUUGUAAAGCUCUUUUGGCGGGGACGAUGAUGACGGUACCCGCAGAAUAAGUCCCGGCUAACUUCGUG
rnacentral:rRNA from 1 species